rnacentral:lncRNA from 1 species
UUUUUUUUUUUUUUUUUUUUUUUUGGUCUUUUUAGGGCUCCACCCACGGCGUAAGGAAGUUCUCGGGCUAGGGAUCAAAUUGGAGCUGUAGCUGCCGGCCUACACCACAGCCACAGCAACGUCGGAUCCUUAACCCACUGAGCAAGGCCAGGGAUCGAACCAGCAUCCUCACGGAUAAUAGUCUGGUUCAUUACUACUGAGCUACAGUGGGAACUCGUAGACUCUUAAGCAUACCUUAAACCUUUGGGAGAGGUGUAAUACCUGACUUUUGUAUUUUAAAUUUAUUAUUGAGUUUCCAAAUGGAAGCUUCUUCCCUUACAGAAAUUCACACUAGACAGUUAAAACUAAUAUAAUUCUAAUAAAUAUAAGUCAUAUAAUCUGAUUUUAAAUUCCUUGCUAUUUUUUAAAAUGUUACUUCAGAAGCAGAGAUAAAAGCUGUGUUUUCUUUUUCAAGAUAUCUGCAAGGAAGAUCAAUGGCCAGCAGAUUUCUCUGAAGCACAUACAUCCUAUAACAGCAAUUUUCUUGGUUUCGUUUGGAUGCUGUGAAAUAAUAUCUUUUAUCACCAGUGAAUAUAAAAAGAAUACACCUGGUUUAAGUAUAAGAAUUGAGUCACUGCUACUUCAAAAGAAGUCAGAGAUUUUUGGAGAACGCAAGAGAUUCAGCAAAAGGUGGCCUUUUAAAAAUUGUUAUUUUGAAUGAGAAAGAGCAAGUUUAAAAUAAGCAAAAUGAGCAAGAGAGAAAGAACUUUUUGACAUCUGAGUGGGCAAAACAACCUCAGAUGUCUUUGCUUAGUGUGUUUUCACAGUUCAAGGUCAAAUGUCCAUCCAAAUGAAUUCUAUUUCUUAGUCGUAUUUGUAAACUGUGUUUUGCUAAAAAAUGAAUUUAAUAUUUUGAGUAUUGUGGCUAAAACAUACAAAAUUAAAUAGUAAGGAAGGUUAUUACAAUCAUCUGAUAAAGGGACAAUUAUUUUCAAAAUGCCAAAAUAAAUAAGUGGAAAAAUAUAAGUACACCAGGACAACUAAAUACUCACAUUAAAGCACAUCCAUUCAACAUAUUACGCAGUAAUCGAACUCUUCAUAGAGAGUGUGCAGUAAGGCAAAAAUACUUGUGAUAUACUAGAUAGGCUACAAAUUGUAUGCACAAAAUGACUAGAAUUAUGUGACUCCUCUGUCAUAUUAUUCCUAUGUAAAAGAAAACCAGCAGUUAUUUAAACGGUAAUUUCCGAAAGAUUUUAACAGUGGAUGCCUUUGAGAGUAUUUUUGAGAUACUUGUUUUUCCCUUUUUCUAAUUUUUGAAAUUGUGUAAUUGAGUUUUGAGAGUAAUAAACAUGUCUUGUUUGGCGGUGGGGAGAAGUACAAUCUGCCGUCCUCUUCCACAAAUACUAUUUUCACUGUCAGGUUUGUGUUCCUGAGAGUUCUAACAAUUGGCUGAGACGCCCUCCAUUUAUAUUCAGAGGACUUUGUUAGUCCUGAGCUCACCUGGCGGUCUCUGUUAACAGCAGGAGACUAUAAAAUAAAACAAAAGCAACCAUGAGCAGCUAAAGGGUAUCACAGAGGUCACACACUAAAACUGACAGAGUGACGAAUCCCGCACACACAAGUUCAGGUGUUCUGCUCCCGUCCCGAUUCGCAGCUAUCUCCUGGUGUCUUAUCGAUAACUUCUGUACACACACACACACACACACACACACACACACACACACACACACACACACACACACACACACACAGCAAUUGGACUUGCAAGCCCUCAGUGGAUUAGAGACCGGUCUCGAGAGGGAAGCAGGUGGAACAGCUUCUGACAGCUGGCAGCAAAGCGAGCAACAGAAAGCCAUAAGAAGAAAAUUCAAGAGAAAAACCUUUAAACGUCCAGUUGACCCAGAGAUUGAGCAAAGAGGCAAACAUGUUAACGUCCUCCUGUGGGACCCAGUCAUCACUGCAUAAUUGUAGGAGAAAAUAAUUUUAACCAUCAUUAGCACUGAGCAAUAGAGGGAAGCAAAGAUAUCAUCAGAAUACACUCUUCAAUAAAGAGAAUGAACUGCAUUAUUUAAUAUGACUUCCACAUAAAACAAUUACGGUAAAAAAUAUCCUUGUGCUUCAAGAGAUAAACUGUCGACUACAUUGAAUGACUCAUCCCCAGAUGCUUCAGGAUAAUUUAUUUUUAUCGUAAUCAUUUAACCUUUUGCUCACUUUUCUCAUCACUUGAGAACACUUUCUUCUGGGUCAGUGUUAGCCGAGUAUUAAGAUAAUUACGUUGACAGUUCUUCUGUAGACAAAAUACCGUACAGACAAAAGGUAACUGCAGGUAAAGACAAGAAUAUGACUAAAUUGUCCCAUCCUUGCUUUCAAUGGAUGUGCAUCCCAGUCCACUGUGGUCUUAAGACCAGCAACUCAGUGGAUUAUUCUUGUGUGGCUAGAUCUUUGGUGCCUUGACCCAACUAGCUGCUUGCAAAGAGCAGAUGGUAGUUAGACUCACUCUGGUUGCAAGACCUCAGCCUUUAAAAGAUGAAGUCGGUGGAUCUAGGAUGUGGGAGAUGAUAACAACACUGACACAGUGCUGACCCAGAAGCCCCCAGUUCUCUAUCGUCGCAGAAGAGAGGAUAUUCCUUAAAAGGAAGAACAAGCACACCCUUAAGUAAGCAUCUAGUCGGGUGUAAAGGGCUUGGGCGACACUUGUCUGUUUGAUCACAUGCUCCUCCUCCUACUUUCAUUCUCCAGUUCACGUGCUCAAGAGUUUCUACUGCGAAAGUUUCGCUUUUGCUCAUAUUAAUCCCCUCUUUCCCCAUUUCUCUCAAAAUUUCCAUUUCCCUAAUAAUCUAGUCUAAAGGUUGCUUGGCUUCGUCCCCGCCCUGCACAGCCCUUGGCUGCAGCCCAAGGCUGGUGGGUGGAAGGCUGUUAGUCAGAACAGUCUGGUCAGCGUGACUGGGCUGAUCCUCAGAGGCAGAGGCAGAGACAGGCUCCAGCUGCAGGACCAGCGGAGAGGGUUCCCUCCCUUCUCCUCCUCCCAGGAUAAGGGGUCGUGGAAGUCUCUUUCCAGUCUCUGCCUUUGGCCCUCCCGUCACAGCCCGCUUCGGCUUCCCUAGGCUUUCGGCCUUCCAGCUGGAACACAGAAAGCCCAGGGGACCCACCAUUAGCACCUGGAAGCUCUCUCCACAGAAUUUACAUCUUUAAAAAGAGUCUCAGCUAAAUCAAAAUCCUCUAGAUCCUCUUCCAUCCAGUGUCACGUCCCACUCAAUUGCUCACUUUCCACUGAAUUUCUGUCUCGUGAGUUUCACUCCCGUUUCUCUUGGAGCCAAAGUCAGCGACACUUAGCUAGUGUGGAGGACGCUGAUGCACUUCCAUCAACUGCUUUUUGUUUUCAACUCAGCUCCCCUUGUUUGGAUUUCUGUUUUCCAUUCCCGUGUCCUCUUAUCUCUAAGCGCUUGCUCUCUGACCUUGUUCUAAUUCCUAAUUCCGCCUCCUCCUCUCCUGGUUUCUCUCCAUGCUCUUCUUGACUCUUUCCCGGUCACUUUCUCUGCCUGGUUCCCUCCCACUGUCAUCCAUUCCCCUUCUUCAUCUUAAUUCUUUCUCUUAUUAUUUUUGGCUCACUUCCUUUAUCUUUGCUGUCCUCCAUGUCCUAUUUGUCUUUCUUCCCCUCUUCCAAUAAACUGAACCCAGUGAGAAAAAAGGACAUUUCCUGCCCGUGAAAUUUUGCCAUUCCACUUUAACAAAAAUAAGCACUGCUAGUAGAAUUGCUUCACAUUAAUGAAAAAUAAAUAUUUGCAGAAAGAUAAGAAGCAGGACACAAAGUACUUAUUUGCUGUGGUGGAAGUUAAAAUUUGAAAUUGUGAACUCAAAAGGAGACAUUUCUUUUAACGGAAGAACCAGAGUGGGCCAACUCCAUGUUAAUAUGCCCAGGUCUCUUACCAAUUCUGUGCCAUUCAGUAAUUUCGUCUAAUGUUGGAUAAUUUAUUACUUCUUUGUAUAAGUUUUGUUUUUUUAAAAUCAUUAAACAGCUUCCUCAGCUGAAUGCAUCCAUUUUUAGAAAAAAAAUUUAAACACAAAAGGAUAUACCAUGAAAGUUAUUUUCCCAUCUACUUGAAGGCCAGGUCAUUGUUCAGGACGCAACCACAGUUUAGGAUACACAAGAAAUCUCCGGAGUUCCCGUCGUGGCUCAGUGGUUAACGAAUCCGACUAGGAACCAUGAGGUUGCGGGUUCGGUCCCUGCCCUUGCUCAGUGGGUUAAGGAUCCGGCGUUGCCGUGAGCUCUGGGGUUGUUUUCCACUGGGCCAACACGGGAACUCCCUAUUUUCCAGAUUUAGUGCGAAAGAACGGCAUUACUUUAUAAUUCUGCAGAUCUCGCUGAUGUUUGGCCUCAUCGAAGAUAAAUGGAUUCUCAUAUUUGCGUUUGCAUUCAAUCUGUUGUACGAUGUUGUUUUGGUUGAAAUAUACGAAGAAAAUCUGGCCUCCCACAGAGAGAGCUGGAAAAGGGAGGACCAUUUUAAGUCUUUUCAGAUCAUCGUGAAUAUCCUCUUCUGGCUGCACUGAAACUCAGCAAAGGGGUGGUUUUCUUAAAAGCCAGUCACCAUCUAGACUAUGAAACCACAUUCAUAAAUAUGUUUGACUUUGCUGCAGUAAAAUCCUCUGGUCUAUCUCACACUUGGAAUAGAUCGUUUUUCUAUGCAUAAUUUCCUAGCAUCAUGCAUCCAUCAUUUUACAGAUAGGAUUCACUGUGUUAUGCGGAUCUCCCCAAUGUUGACCUACUUCGUAAUGUCCUGCCACAGCAUAGCAUUUAUUCACAUCAUCACCAAUCUCCCCAGAAAGUCUUUAAAUGUGGAGACACUGUCAGGUUCUCAAGGGCUUUACAGAAUUGAAAGCUCAAAUUCUACCAUUGGCAAGAAAUGUGGUCUAUUGUGUUCCUUGAAUAAAUUCACUUCCCUCAUUUUCAAGAAAGUAUCUGCCAAAUACCCAAUUCUGAAUAACAACAGUUUGCAAUCAAUUUUUCAAGUAAAAAUGUUCCGUUAUAGUUCAAUUUGCAACUCAAACAUUUGCAUAAGUACUUUUCCUUGAGAUAACCCCCAAACUUCUGCAUAUGCACCAAAACUUUUUUGCUUCCCGUUUUGUCACACAGAAAAAAAGACAAGUACUCAGGCUCGAGGUUUAAUAGAAUGGCUCAUUUGCACGGCUUCGUCAAGGACAUUCUUAAGUCAAGCUGGCUUUUAUUUUUAUUCUUUUGCUUAACGGGCAUGCAAGGUGCUAAGGCAUAGAACGACAACCAGCCUAGCGGGCUGCCAUUGCCUUGAUCCCUGCGAAGGCACGAGCAGUUUUACCCACCAUUGCUUUGGCACUCUCAGGGCAAACAUCAAAACGAUGAAAAGAUAAAUAAUGUCUUCGUAUUAUUUAGAUAACAGAUUUAAUCUCACAGUCAAGCCCAGGGGUCUACGGCUAUUGUGACUU